rnacentral:rRNA from 1 species
AAGGCUCGUCCUCCCAGGGUUAGUCGGGACCUAAGCUGAGGCCGAACGGCGUAGGCGAUGGUCAACAGGUUGAUAUUCCUGUACCAGUUUCUUUUGUUUGACCGAUGGAGGGACGCAGCAGGCUAAGAUAUGCCCACUGAUGGAUGUGGGUGCAAAUAAUAAGUCUGGCGAUGAGUCAAAUGCUUAUCGCUAAGGACAAGUUAUGACGCGGAGGGAAGUACAGUACCGAAGUAUCUGACGUCACACUGCCAAGAAAAGCUUCUAGGGAGAAAGCAACUGCCCGUACCGCAAACCGACACAGGUAGUCGAGAUGAGAAUUCUAAGGUGAGCGAGCGAACUCUCGUUAAGGAACUCGGCAAAAUGACCCCGUAACUUAGGGAGAAGGGGUGCUAACGCAAGUUAGCCGCAGU